GCAAGACAUGAAGCGCGAAUGGAGGAUGCCUCGGCACGACCAGCCGACGAAGGACGCAGACCAGCAGCGAAACGAUGGGGGAGCCGCAGUCAGGCUUUGAGCCCAUCAUCUCCGAAUGGGGCAACCCACCAUCUGGUGACAGGUGGUAUCCCGAGAGGGAAGGUAAGUGGGGGAACUGAAACAUCUCAGUACCCUGAGGAAGCGAAACAAGUCCCGGAGUAGUGGCGAGCGAAACGGGAGAUGCCUAAACCCAUGCCGUGUCAAGCCUGCAGGCGUUGCGGGGUGGGGGUUGCGAGCCGAUAGCGUGGAGCUGCAGUGUCCACACUCGGUGGAGCGUGUGUAUGUGCGAAGCGGCUGGAACGCCGCACCAGAGCGGGUGAGAGUCCCGUAGCACCAGCGCCGCUCACGAGCUAUCCAAGCUCAAGUACCACGGGACACGAGUAAUCCUGUGGGAAGCCGGGCCGCCCACGGCCCAAGGCUGCAUACUGGUCGUGACCGAUAGUGCACAGUACCGUGAGGGAACGGUGAAAAGUACCCCGGCGAGGGGAGUGAAAUAGUGCCUGAAACCGUUCGCGUCCAUGCAGUGAGAGCCGUAGGCACACUUCGGUGUGCACGGUGAUCGCGUGCCUUUUGGAGAAUGACCCGACGAGUUACCCGCAGUGGCGUGGCUAAGGCAGUUGACAGCCGGAGCCCGAGGGAAACCGAGUGUGAAGAGCGCGUUUUUGUCGCUGCGGGUAGACCUGAAACCGUGUGAGCCACCCAUGGCCAAGCUGCAGCGCCCGUAACAGGGCGUGAAGGGCUGAACCGGUACCUGUUGCAAAAGGUUCGGAUGAGCUGUGGGUAGGGGUGAAAUGCCAAACGAACACGGAGAUAGCUGGUUCUCCCCGAAAUGCAUUGAGGUGCAGCCGGCCACAAGCCCGGUUGCUGGAGGUAGAGCGCUAGUCGGACGCGGGGGCUUCACCGCCUACCAACUCCGGUUAACCUGCGAAUGCCAGCAACGGUGGUGGACCGCGUGAGACGGUGGGAGCAAAUUUUCAUCGUCAAAAGGGCAACAGCCCAGACCUGCCGCUAAGGCCCCCAAGUGUGUGUUCAGUGGGCAAGGAGGUCGGACCGCCCAGACAACCAGGAGGUUGGCUUAGAAGCAGCCACCCUUGAAAGAGUGCGUAACAGCUCACUGGUCGAGGGGUCCGGCGCCGACAAUGUACCGGGGCUAAACAUACCGCCGAAGCGCAGGAUUUCAGACUUCGGUCUGGAGUGGUAGGGGAGCGUCGUCAUCAGCAGAGAACCAUCAGCGCAAGCCGGUGGGGAGCGGUGACGAGUGCGAAUGUCGGGAUGAGUAACGAUUCGUGGGGCGAGAACCCCCACCGCCGAAUAUCCAAGGUUUCCGCUGCCCGGUCAAUCCGCAGCGGGUGAGUCGGGCCUAAGCCGAGGCCGCAAGGCGUAGGUGAUGGACAGCAGGUGGAGAAUCCUGCACCGUUGGUUGUCACGUUUGAGUCUCACCGGGAGGCCGGGGGGGACGGGGAGCGACCAGACGAGGGUCGUUCAAGCUGGUAGGCGUAAGCUGAGAAGCGAGCACGAGGCCACCUCGCAAGAGGCAGCCGAGUCCCCGACACCUGCACGGCCACGAAAGGCCUGGGAGAUGAGUGCACCAACGCCCGUACCGGACACCGACACAGGUGGAUAGGUCGAGCAGACCAAGGCGGACGAGCGAACCCUGGUUAAGGAACUCGGCAAAAUGAUCCCGUACCUUCGGAAGAAGGGAUGCUCCUGGGCGUGUAGCCACUAGCUGGCCAAGCGUCAGGGAGCCGAAGAAAGCAGGCCCACGCGACUGGUUACCAGAACCUUAGGUCCCUGCGAAGGCGCAAGCCGACGUAUAGGGGCUGAUGCCUGCCCAGUGCUGGAAGGUUAAGGGGAGGGGUUCACGCCCUGAACCGAAGCCCCAGUCAACGGCGGCCGUAACUAUAACGGUCCUAAGGUAGCGAAAUUCCUUGUCAGGUAAGUUCUGACCCGCACGAAUGGCGUAAUGACUUGGGCACUGUCUCAACUGUAAAUCCGGCGAAGUUGUAGUGCGAGUGAAGAUGCUCGCUACCCGCGAUUGGACGGAAAGACCCCGUAGAGCUUUACUGUAGCUUAGCAUUGAGUUUUGGUAUUGUCUGUACAGGAUAGGUGGGAGACUAGGAAACCAGGGCGUCAGCCUUGGUGGAGUCAACCUUGGGAUACCACCCUGACAGUACUGAAAUUCUAACUGGCGGCCAUGAAUCUGGUCACAGGACAUUGUUAGGUGGGCAGUUUGACUGGGGCGGUCGCCUCCUAAAAUGUACCGGAGGCGCCCAAGGGUUCCCUCAGGCGGGAUGGCAAUCCGCCAGUGAGUGCAAGGGCACAAGGGAGCUUGACUGCAAGGCAAACAGGCCGCGCAGGGACGAAAGUCGGGCCUAGUGAUCCUACGGUGGCGAGUGGAAGCGCCGUAGCGUACCGGAUAAAAGCUACCCCGGGGAUAACAGGCUGAUCCUGCCCAAGAGUUCAGAUCGACGGCAGGGUUUGGCACCUCGAUGUCGGCUCGUCGCAUCCUGGGGCUGGAGCCGGUCCCAAGGGUUGGGCUGUUCGCCCAUGAAAGCGGCACGCGAGCUGGGUUCAGAACGUCGUGAGACAGUUCGGUCUCUAUCCGGUGUGGGCGUUUAGAAGGUUGCGCAGGGCUGGCCCUAGUACGAGAGGACCGGGCUGGACGACCCGCUGGUGGAGCAGUUGUGGGGCGACCUGCAGGCUGCGUAGCUACGGUCGGGAGGGGGAACCGCUGAAUGCAUCUAAGUGGGAAGCCCACUGCAAGACGAGCCUUCUCGCAGUUUUGAGACUGGUAAGGUCCCGGCGAGAAUAGCCGGUAGGACAGGGUCGCGGUGGAGGGCGUGUGAGCGCUAGAGCCGACGACUGCUGAGGACCGAGGGCUUGCCGAG
rnacentral:rRNA from 1 species